rnacentral:sRNA from 1 species
UCUGGGCAUGGUGAUGCAUGCCUGUAAUCCCAGGGGCUCAGGAAGCUGAGGCAGGAGGAUCACGAGUUCAAAGCCAGCCUCAGCAACUUAGUGAGACUCUGUCCCAG